rnacentral:rRNA from 1 species
GGGAGGUAGUGACAAUAAAUAACAAUAUGGGGCCCUCACGGGUUUCGUAAUUGGAAUGAGUACAAUUUAAAUCUCUUAACGAGGAACAAUUGGAGGGCAAGUCUGGUGCCAGCAGCCGCGGUAAUUCCAGCUCCAAUAGCGUAUAUUAAAGUUGUUGCAGUUAAAAAGCUCGUAGUUGAAUUUCGGAAUCUGUCCGUUGGUCGGGCUUUAUUGUCCGUACUGAUGUGAUGGGUUCUUACCUUCUGAAUAACCAGCAUGUCAUUAAUUUGGUGUGUUGGGGAAGCAGGACUAUUACCUUGAAAAAUUAGAGUGCUCAAAGCAGGCUAGUGCCUGAAUACAUUAGCAUGGAAUAAUAAAAUAGGACGGCAUGGUUCUAUUUUGUUGGUUUCUAGGAUCACCGUAAUGAUUAAUAGGGAUAGUUGGG